rnacentral:rRNA from 1 species
AGAGGGGGCUUAGUGGUGGGGUGACUGCGUACCUUUUGUAUAAUGGGUCAGCGACUUAUAUUCUGUAGCAAGGUUAACCGAAUAGGGGAGCCGGAGGGAAACCGAGUCUUAAUUGGGCGUUAAGUUGCAGGGUAUAGACCCGAAACCCGGUGAUCUAGCCAUGGGCAGGUUGAAGGUUGGGUAACACUAACUGGAGGACCGAACCGACUAAUGUUGAAAAAUUAGCGGAUGACCUGUGGCUGGGGGUGAAAGGCCAAUCAAACCGGGAGAUAGCUGGUUCUCCCCGAAAGCUAUUUAGGUAGCGCCUCGUGAACUCAUCUCCGGGGGUAGAGCACUGUUUCGGCUAGGGGGCCAUCCCGGCUUACCAACCCGAUGCAAACUGCGAAUACCGGAGAAUGUUAUCACGGGAGACACACGGCGGGUGCUAACGUCCGUCGUGAAGAGGGAAACAACCCAGACCGCCAGCUAAGGUCCCAAAGUCAUGGUUAAGUGGGAAACGAUGUGGGAAGGCCCAGACAGCCAGGAUGUUGGCUUAGAAGCAGCCAUCAUUUAAAGAAAGCGUAAUAGCUCACUGGUCGAGUCGGCCUGCGCGGAAGAUGUAACGGGGCUAAACCAUGCACCGAAGCUGCGGCAGCGAACGUAUCACCCAAGACAACUUUACGGAGUUGACGAUUGACGGAGCGAAGCGACGUCAAAGCGUUCAUUAAAGUCGAGUUGGCUUAGGGAUACGUUCGUUGGGUAGGGGAGCGUUCUGUAAGCCUGCGAAGGUGGCCUGUGAGGGUUGCUGGAGGUAUCAGAAGUGCGAAUGCUGACAUAAGUAACGAUAAAGCGGGUGAAAAGCCCGCUCGCCGGAAGACCAAGGGUUCCUGUCCAACGUUAAUCGGGGCAGGGUGAGUCGACCCCUAAGGCGAGGCCGAAAGGCGUAGUCGAUGGGAAACGGGUUAAUAUUCCCGUACUUGGUGUUACUGCGAAGGGGGGACGGAGAAGGCUAUGUUGGCCGGGCGACGGUUGUCCCGGUUUAAGCGUGUAGGUGUGUGUUCCAGGUAAAUCCGGUUCACUUUAACACUGAGGCGUGACGACGAGGCACUACGGUGCUGAAGCAACAAAUGCCCUGCUUCCAGGAAAAGCCUCUAAGCAUCAGGUAACACGAAAUCGUACCCCAAACCGACACAGGUGGUCAGGUAGAGAAUACCAAGGCGCUUGAGAGAACUCGGGUGAAGGAACUAGGCAAAAUGGUGCCGUAACUUCGGGAGAAGGCACGCUGACA